rnacentral:rRNA from 1 species
AACGAACGCUGGCGGCGUGCCUAACACAUGCAAGUCGUGCGAGAAAGUUACCUUCGGAGCGAGUAAAGACGGCGCACGGGUGAGUAACACGUAGGUAACCUGCCCCAUAGUCUGGAACAACUAGAGGAAACUCUAGCUAAUGCCGGAUAAGACCACGAUCCCUUCGGGGGUUGCGGCCAAAGAUGGCCUCUACUUGUAAGCUAUCGCUGAGGGAUGGGCCUGCGGGCCAUUAGCUUGUUGGUGAGGUAACGGCUCACCAAGGCUGUGAUGGCUAGCUGGUCUGAGAGGAUGACCAGCCACACUGGGACUGAGACACGGCCCAGACUCCUACGGGAGGCAGCAGUGGGGAAUAUUGCGCAAUGGGCGAAGCCUGACGCAGCGACGCCGCGUGGGUGAUGAAGG